UGCCUGCCCGGUGACUUUAAAAGUUAAACGGCCGCGGUAUUUUUGACUGUGCGAAGGUAGCGUAAUCAUUUGCUCUUUAAUUGGGGGCUGGAAUGAACGGCAAGACAGAAGCUAGGCUGUCUCUUCCUUAAUCUCUUGAAUCUAAUAUUGCUGUGAAGAAGCGGUAAUAUUGUCGUAAGACGAGAAGACCCUGUUGAGCUUCAUAUGAGGACUAGUUUUAUGCGGAUAAAGGUUUUGGGGAAUAAUGUGAUUUAUCUAAAGAGGUAGAGAGGAAUGGUUAUUUUUAAAAGUGGUGUGUAAAAUUUGUUAAUGUUUGGUUGGGGCAACCGCGGAGGAUAAGAAUCCUCCGUUAAGUGGAAGAGGAAAAGUUACUGUUUUGUCAUAAAUCGGGUUUGCUUUAGGAUCCAUCAAUGGUGAUUGAAGGAAUUAGUUACCACAGGGAUAACAGCGUUAUUUCUUUGGAGAGUUCAUAUUGAUAAGGAAGUUUGCGACC
rnacentral:rRNA from 1 species